rnacentral:tRNA from 1 species
AAAUUAUGUGCGUAGGUGUAUGAGUAGAUCCGCGAUAGUAUAGUGGUUAGUAUUCCCUAACAUCCAGCGGGA